CGUGGACCUGUUCCAUAGCAACCAUGCCGUCACCAUAGAUACCACGUCACCGAGCAUUCCGCUGGAAAUCGAUGAUAUAGGGGAGUUAAUAGUUGUCGGCGAGCUCAAUGCCGACUACCCACACACCGUGUACGAGGUAACCAUUCGGGUGAAAGAUUCGUGCGCGUCCACGGACACGUGCGUCGUCACUCUGACAGUUACGAACGAACCCAAGCCAAUCCGUUUCCUCGGACUACCUGCAAGCAUUUCUUUGGUCCCUUCUGGCGACGUCAUCCACAAAUUUCAAAUAACACGACAGCGCGUGGUCGAUGACGUCACGUGUUACAUCA